UACGUAGGGUGCGAGCGUUGUCCGGAAUUAUUGGGCGUAAAGAGCUCGUAGGCGGUCUGUCGCGUCUGCUGUGAAAACCCGAGGCUCAACCUCGGGCCUGCAGUGGGUACGGGCAGACUAGAGUGCGGUAGGGGAGAAUGGAAUUCCUGGUGUAGCGGUGGAAUGCGCAGAUAUCAGGAGGAACACCGGUGGCGAAGGCGGUUCUCUGGGAAUGUCCUGACUGAGGAGCGAAAGUGUGGGGGAGCGAACAGG
rnacentral:rRNA from 1 species